AGGAAUCAGUAAACCCACUGAAAGUGAAGAUCUAGGUACAACUCUACACAUGUAGGUUUAGCACACAAUAUCCUACCUGUCAAUGUUGCUACCUUAGUAAGAACAAUAUCACAAAAAACUAAGGUUUAGAUAAAUUCAUUACACUGUUAGUAAAUACUGUGUACAUGAUCACUGACUCAUUGUAGCGAUUGGCCAACCUCUUCACUUUAUUUACUUUAACAGAGAGAAUAGUUGGUUGGUCUAAUAUAAAGCUGAAAUGAAUUACUGUGGCAACUCCUUAUGCUGGAGGUCACCCAUCAAAUGGCUAUUAAGACCCCUUUAAAUUUACUCCUGCAUAAAUUUAAGCAGUCUCUGAUAAGGCAAAUCCUUGGAUUUGAUAUACCAUGCAAAAUCAUGAUAAGGCAAUUAACAUAAACUAAUGGCCAAUGGGGCAAAUCUUUUCGAAGUAAAUAAAUCUUUACUUUUCUCUUCGUCACCAACAUUCAACCUUCUAAAGUAUUGUCACUGAAACACAUGAAAUUGGCAAUAUUCUGGUACUUGGAAGGUCUGAAUUCAAUGUUUCAAGAUAUGGUCCACACUCCUGGUUAAUUCUUCUUCAUAUCAUGAUGCAGAUCAAAUGAUGCCCCUCUUGUCCGAAGAUAAUCCAGAGAUGCUCAAACCUUCAGAAGAUGCAAUGCAAAGUUGAAUGCAGGUACAUUCUUUCUUAUCUUAUAUUUUA
rnacentral:misc_RNA from 1 species